GGGCGAUUGGCUCAGCUGGUUAGAGCGCACGGUUCACAUCCGUGAGGUCACUGGUUCGAAUCCAGUAUCGCCCACCA
rnacentral:tRNA from 3 species